UACGAAGGGUGCAAGCGUUAAUCGGAAUUACUGGGCGUAAAGGGUGCGCAGGCGGUUGUGUAAGUCAGAUGUGAAAUCCCCGGGCUCAACCUGGGAAUUGCAUUUGAGACUGCACGGCUAGAGUGUGUCAGAGGGGGGUAGAAUUCCACGUGUAGCAGUGAAAUGCGUAGAGAUGUGGAGGAAUACCGAUGGCGAAGGCAGCCCCCUGGGAUAACACUGACGCUCAUGCACGAAAGCGUGGGGAGCAAACAGG
rnacentral:rRNA from 1 species